GGUGCUAGGUGGGUAGUGUUAAUCCAAGUGGGGCCACCAAGGUAAUGGAAAAUGGCUACAGAUUUGUUGGGUUGUGGGUUGGACUGGUGGAUUGACCAUGAUGACCUGCCUACUCCAAGUUUGGAAUUGAGUCUCAUUGGGUCUUACACAGGAGCAAAGGCAGUGCUAGACCAAUUUAUUGAUGGGGCCCAAAUAGAAAGAACACCAUCUUUGAGGAGGCCAAGUUUAAGAUUUUUUUAUUCAAAAGGAAAUACAUGGAUUUUUUUUUUUUUGUGGGGGUGGAGAAGGCCCUAUGAGGAUGAAUUAUGCACUGCCUCACAGGAGGGCACCACAUCUAAAAGAAUCCAAGAGUAAGUAUACUCCUAUAACAUCAGUCUGGCUUCACUGAGUAGUGAAUAUUUCUGGCUUCCUACAGUGGAGGGAUAAUGGGCUGCUACUCUUCCAGCCCAACAUGCCCAGUGAGAUAACCGGCUUGGACUGUAAAUUUU
rnacentral:SRP_RNA from 1 species